UUGUCCUCCCUCCUCCUCCCGCUCCGCUCCUUCUGCCGUCGGGCGCCGCCGCGCGCCGCAAACCCGCGCUGCCGCAAAAGGCGGCUGUCGUAACACCCUGUGCCCGCCCCCUUUAACGCGGCGGCUUUAAAUGGCCCCGGGGGCGUGAGGGGAAAACACACGGCAACCUCGUGGGAACUGCCAGCAGCGUUACAGACAUGGCAUCCGCACAGCCCUGUUUCAGAAGUCUCUUCCUUCAGAAGUCUGGGCUGAAGUUGUGCAGCCAUAUCAUCCAAGCUGGGCUUGCUCCUUGGCAUGAGGGCAGCUGAGCCCCUCAGGGAGGGAGCUUUCAUGGAAGAAUCAGUAUGGCCUUUUCAUCAAAACAACCAGCACAUGAAUCCUGGCACCACAAAGAUCUGCCAGUUAUUAAUUAUUAAUCAGCAAACUAAAAAUAAAUGCAUAAAAUAA